AGUGGGAUGUUCUUUAAAAGAAAUAGGGUUAUAAAUAUAAUAGGUACUUUUAUUUGUAUUUUUAUGUGUAAUGGGGAUAUUGUGAUUGUUAAUACAAACUAUUUCGGUGUGUGGCUGAUGUCUAAAAGAUUUUAGAAUAUAGUACGUGUCCAGAUAUGGAUGUAAAACUACGUUGUUGUUUGACAUUGAGAGAUGAUGGGACAAUUUUUAAAUAUUGCUACAUGCCUAUCCUACCUAAGUGCUGUGUGAUAUUAAAUGGAUGUAAUAUAAAGUUGUUGGUUAUGAUAGCUUAGCCCAAAGUGUAAUUCACAUUCACACCCUCUUAUCCAGCAAGCAUGGAAGACUAAUAAAAAUCAGUGGAUCAAAUCCAGGAAUAUCCAAAUAAAAUGAAAAUAUUGAAGGAAUAAGAAAAAUUGUGGAAAAACGAGAAUAAGUUAUCUUACCCAAUAACUGGCCACCGACAUGGCACACCGAAGUAACAUCAAAUCUACGAGAUUUAGGGAAAGACCCGAUAACCACACCAAUAUGGGGAUCGGAAGAAAAAGAACAAUGAUUGACUCCAACCAAACGAACUUCAAAAGAUUUUGACAAUCCAGAAAUGACACUUGAAAACGGAAGUUAGCGGCGUUGCCGUCCAAAUAAAUAGAUAUUUUGUGGAAAAAUAUUACAAAGAGAAUCUAUGCGAUGGUAGAAAAACACUGGUGUUAGAUAAAUAACAUGUGACUGCAUAUCAUCAGUAGCGAUCGAAGCAACAGCUAGUUACAGUAACCAAAAUCAAUUUGGACAAGCGAUAGAGACAUACGGUCGCGCCGUAUUAAUCCGCUGGUAAUUCGG